UCUUCGAUAGUACAGGGGUUAGUAUAUCCGCUUUUCAAGAACUGUUGGUUUUGAUUUAGCGCGGACGACCCGGGUUCGAAUCCCGGUCGGAGAA